UGGUCCGUGGUGUAUCGGUUGCAUCCUCGCUCUUUAUGACAGAACAGCUUGUAUCCAUGAAUUGCGAGAGGAGCUGGUUCGAGUCCGGCUGGGCCUA